rnacentral:lncRNA from 1 species
GCUUGAAUCUUUUGUUCCUUUUAAAUUUUGAGUAGAAGCCUUAUCUACUGUAGUUUAUUUAAUUGAUAGAUUGCCUUCUAGUGUCUUAAAUUUUAACACUCCCUACUUUCAUCUAUAUAAUCAGCAUCCUAUCUACCGUGAUAUACAUACCUUUGGUUGUGUUUGUUUUGUCCUAUUGUCACCUCAUGAACACCAUAAACUUUCUACUCAAUUUGUUAAAUGUACUUUUAUGGGAAAUAGUAUGUCACAUAAAGGUUAUGUUUGUUAUGACUCAUCUUCUAAAAAAUUUCAUAUUUCUCGUCAUGUUACUUUCUUUGAGAAUUAAUAUUUUUUCUACUCAUGCUGCAUCAUUGCCUAGCAUUCCUAUUCUACCACACUUUGAUGAAUUAAUUCCUACUCAUGAGCGCUACAAACCUGGAUUUGUGUACAAACGACGGUGGCUACCUUCGUCCCUUUUUGAGUUUGAUCUAUCAUCUGAGCCUGCCCAAGUUGUUCACUCACCCGAUGAUCCAGAUUUCAAUAUUGUUCUUCGCUGAUCCACUAGAGUCACUCGACCUUCUGAUCGGUAUGGUUUCUCUCAUAUGUCUCUUAAUGCUAUUUUAUCAUCUGUUCCGAUUCCCUCUUGCUAUUCAAAGGCUAUGAAAUAUGAAUGCUGGCGUGAGGCCAUGGCAGCUGAACUUCAAGCUCUUCAGGAGAAUCAUACGUGGGAUAUUGUCCCUUGUCCUGUGGAUGUUAAAGCUAUUGAUUGUAAGUGGGUUUACUCAAUCAAAUUACGUUCUAAAGCACGUAUGGUUGCUCUGGGCAAUAGGCAAGAAUAUGGGGUUGAUUAUGAGGAGACAUUUGCUUCGAUUGCCAAGAUGACUACGGUGCGUACUAUUAUUUCUAUUGCAGCAUCUCAAGGGUGACCACUUUAUCAAAUGGACGUUAAAAAUGCAUUUCUUCAUGGUGAUCUCAAGAAGGAGAUUUACAUGGCACUUCCACUUGGGUUGUCCACCUCAUCUUCUCAGGAUUUCUGUAAGUUAAAGCGGUCUCUAUAUGGACAAAAACAAGCUCCUCGGGUUUGGUUUGAAAAGUUUCGAGCUACUUUGCUUCGAUUUUCAUUUGAACAAAGCCAAUAUGACUCAUCCUUAUUUCUUUGCAAAACUUCUGUUGGUAUCGCACUUUUCCUUGUUUAUGUUGAUGAUAUUGUCAUCACCGGGGCAAAUUCGGACCUAAUCACGCGUCUUCAACAACAUCUUCAGGCCUCGUUUCAUAUGAAGGAUCUUGGUCUUCUCACAUAUAUCUUAGGGUUGGAAGUUCAUUCAGAUCAUUCCGGUAUUUUUUAAAGUAACACAAGUAUACACAGG